rnacentral:rRNA from 1 species
AACGCGAAGAACCUUACCUGGGCUCGAAAUGUAGUGGAAUAGGGUGGAAACAUCCUAGUCUCGCAAGAGACUGCUAUAUAGGUGCUGCAUGGCUGUCGUCAGCUCGUGUCGUGAGAUGUUGGGUUAAGUCCCGCAACGAGCGCAACCCUUAUCCCUAGUUGCCAUCGGGUCAAGCCGGGCACUCUAGUGAAACCGCCCGGGAUAACCGGGAGGAAGGUGGGGAUGACGUCAAGUCCUCAUGGCCUUUAUGUCCAGGGCUACACACGUGCUACAAUGGUCGGUACAAACCGUCGCAAACCCGCGAGGGGGAGCUAAUCGGAAAAAGCCGGCCUCAGUUCGGAUUGGAGUCUGCAACCCGACUCCAUGAAGCUGGAAUCGCUAGUAAUCGCGGAUCAGAACGCCGCGGUGAAUACGUUCCCGGGCCUUGUACACACCGGCUAC